AAAAUAUGCAACCUGAAACCAGGCAAGCAUGAAUUCUGUGAGCCGGUUGUGAAUCCUUGGUAGCUUGAAAGCCACCAUGGGGAAAGUAUUUGCACCACAGAUAUCGGGCAAAUGCAGGAAACCAAGGCUUUCCUUUACCAUCCCCCAGAGAGCGGGUCUACCAGCACACCACUGUCCCCGACCAACCACUUUCCACUUCUUUUGGGAUUCAGUGCCUCGCAGAAGAUAGGCAGAAGCCUGAAGCCAGAGAGCCUCACAAAUGACAGGCCUUCCUACAAAAAGCUUUGAAAGAGGGAACCAGUGCCUCUGUUAGAUCUAAAGAUCAUGGGACAGGAGUUUAAUUCCUUUUGACUCUUCCAACUAGCGUGACCACCUUUGCUGACUAAGAACCUUUCUCUUGGGAGUGGCUCACAUUAUGGCCACACAGUUUUCCACAGGGCCCUCCAAGAGGCAGAUGUUGAAUGGCCAGGUUGCCUAA
rnacentral:lncRNA from 10 species